rnacentral:rRNA from 1 species
GAUGAACGCUGGCGGCGUGCUUAACACAUGCAAGUCGAACGAGAAGUGAAGACGGAAACCUUCGGGCGGAAGGCUUUAUUUCGAGUGGCGGACGGGUGAGUAACGCGUGGGUAACCUGCCUCAUACAGGGGGAUAACAGUUGGAAACGACUGUUAAUACCGCAUAAGACCACAGCACCGCAUGGUGCGGGGGUAAAAACUCCGGUGGUAUGAGAUGGACCCGCGUUCGAUUAGCCAGUUGGCGGGGUAACGGCCCACCAAAGCGACGAUCGAUAGCCGAUCUGAGAGGAUGACCGACCACAGUGGGACUGAGACACGGCCCAAACUCCUACGGGAGGCAGCAGUGGGGAAUAUUGCACAAUGGGGGAAACCCUGAUGCAGCGACGCCGCGUGAGUGAAGAAGUAUUUCGGUAUGUAAAGCUCUAUCAGCAGGGAAGAAAAUGACGGUACCUGAGGAAGAAGCCCCGGCUAACUACGUG